UCUAAUAUGGCAGAUAAAGUGCUGUGAACUUAAGCUUCAUAUAUAAAGUUUUACUUUUAUUAGAA
rnacentral:tRNA from 1 species